rnacentral:rRNA from 2 species
UCGGAGAGUUUGAUCCUGGCUCAGGAUGAACGCUGGCGGCGUGCCUAAUACAUGCAAGUCGAGCGAACUGAUUAGAAGCUUGCUUCUAUGACGUUAGCGGCGGACGGGUGAGUAACACGUGGGCAACCUGCCUGUAAGACUGGGAUAACUUCGGGAAACCGAAGCUAAUACCGGAUAGGAUCUUCUCCUUCAUGGGAGAUGAUUGAAAGAUGGUUUCGGCUAUCACUUACAGAUGGGCCCGCGGUGCAUUAGCUAGUUGGUGAGGUAACGGCUCACCAAGGCAACGAUGCAUAGCCGACCUGAGAGGGUGAUCGGCCACACUGGGACUGAGACACGGCCCAGACUCCUACGGGAGGCAGCAGUAGGGAAUCUUCCGCAAUGGACGAAAGUCUGACGGAGCAACGCCGCGUGAGUGAUGAAGGCUUUCGGGUCGUAAAACUCUGUUGUUAGGGAAGAACAAGUACAAGAGUAACUGCUUGUACCUUGACGGUACCUAACCAGAAAGCCACGGCUAACUACGUGCCAGCAGCCGCGGUAAUACGUAGGUGGCAAGCGUUAUCCGGAAUUAUUGGGCGUAAAGCGCGCGCAGGCGGUUUCUUAAGUCUGAUGUGAAAGCCCACGGCUC